CACGUAGGGUGCGAGCGUUGUCCGGAAUUAUUGGGGCGUAAAGAGCUCGUAGGCGGUGUGUCACGUCGGCCGUGAAAACCUGCAGCUUAACUGUGGGGCGUGCGGUCGAUACGGGGCAUCACUGGAGUUCGGCAGGGGGAGACUGGAAUUUCCUGGUGUAGCGGUGAAAUGCGCAGAUAUCAGGAGGGAACACCGGUGGCGAAGGCGGGGUCUCUGGGCCGAUACUGACGCUGAGGAGCGAAAGCGUGGGGGAGCAAACAGG
rnacentral:rRNA from 1 species